GACGAACGCUGGCGGCGUGCUUAACACAUGCAAGUCGAGCGGAGCGGCGAACGGGUGAGUAACGCGUGAGUAACUGCCCCCCUCUCUGGGAUAACAGUUGGAAACGGCUGCUAAUACCGGAUAGUGGGGGAUGACUCGCGUCCUAUCAGCUUGUUGGCGGGGUAGUGGCCUACCAAGGCGACGACGGGGAGCCGGCCUGAGAGGGCGACCGGCCAAAUUGGGCAGAGAUAAGGCCCAAAGUCAUACGGGGGGCAGCAGUGGGGAAUAUUGCACAAUUGGGGAAACCCGGAUGCAGCAAACCGCGUGCGGGAUGACGGGCGGCGAGAUGUAAACCGCUUUCAGCCAUGACGCGGUAGUGGCAGAAGAAGCACCGGCUAACUACGUGCCAGCAGCCGCGGUAAUAC
rnacentral:rRNA from 1 species